UACAGAGGGUGCAAGCGUUGUUCGGAAUUAUUGGGCGUAAAGCGCGUGUAGGCGGCUUUGCAAGUCGGGUGUGAAAGCCCUCAGCUCAACUGAGGAAGUGCGCCCGAAACUGCAGAGCUUGAGUACCGGAGAGGAUGGCGGAAUUCCCCAAGUAGAGGUGAAAUUCGUAGAUAUUGGGAAGAACACCGGUGGCGAAGGCGGCGACCUGGUCCGAUACUGACGCUGAGGCGCGAAAGCGUGGGGAGCAAACAGG
rnacentral:rRNA from 1 species